AACUCAGGACCUCUGGAAGAGCAGCCAGU
rnacentral:piRNA from 2 species